rnacentral:rRNA from 1 species
ACGAACGCUGGCGGCGCGCUUAACACAUGCAAGUCGAACGGAAAGGCCUGCUUUCCCUUGUGGAUUGCGGGUACUCGAGUGGCGAACGGGUGAGUAACACGUGAGUGAUCUGCCCCCAACUUGGGUAUAAGCCUGGGAAACUGGGUCUAAUUCCCGAUAGGACUGCAGGGUGGUGCCUGUGGUGGAAAACGAUUUUCUAGUGGUUGGGGAUGAGCUCGCGGCCUAUCAGCUUGUUGGUGGGGUAAUGGCCUAUCAAGGCGGCGACGGGUAGCCGGCCUGAGAGGGUGGACGGCCACAUUGGGACUGAGAUACGGCCCAGACUCCUACGGGAGGCAGCAGUGGGGAAUAUUGCACAAUGGGCGGAAGCCUGAUGCAGCGACGCCGCGUGGGGGAUGACGGCCUUCGGGUUGUAAACUCCUUUCGACCGCGAGGAAGCCACCUGGUUGGAAGGGUGGUGACGGUAGUGGUAGAAGAAGCACCGGCUAACUACGUG